UACGGGAACUAUCUAACUGAAUCAAGUUUCGGGGGCCCUAUCAAUGAGUGCGAGAAGAUUUGUUUACCCAUGAACUGGAACAAGGAACAUUGGUACUUAUGUAUCAUAGACAUAAUUAGCCGUCAGGUUUUCAUUUGCGACUCUGCACCUGAUAGCAAUGCUGUUAACAAAGAAAGGGAGAAUAAUGCCAAGAUUGUUUGUGCAGCAAUUGAAGAGGCACUGUCAUAUGGAUUUGGCCAUGGACAUAAAGGAGAUGUGAACAACUACAAAUUUACUA